AAAAACUACGAAAUUCAUUAGUGCUUGGGAAACUUUUUUUGAUAUGAAUCAAAUCAGUUGUUAACAUAUUUUUCUUUAUUGAAGGUGGUUUAUUUUGUUUAAAUUUUUAAAGUAAGGAAAAGAAAUAGUCUGUAUGGAAGUUAAAUUCUCACUAGAAUGGAUUUAGUUGACAUUAUUGUUGAUUGGUACUUGUUUUUUUAUGUGGCCAAGAGAGAUCAGUUUCAUUAUCAAAUCAUGUUUUUAAUUGACAUAAAGAUGUUAUUACUUAAAGAAAUGAAAAAAAAACUAUGAUUUUUAUGGAAGCUCUACCUAGCUGGAAGGUUAAUGCUUUAUCAGAAUCACUAAAACACUUGAAAAAAUUCUGAUCUAAUUCAUGAAGCUGUUUGAAGAAAAAACAUUGAAGUUUAAUCAGCAGUGGAGAUUUCCCUAUUAGACGACAGUAUUUUUACAAUUGUUUAGUGUGAAAAUCAUAACCAAAAAAAAAUCAUUUGCAUUCAUCACUCAUUCAUAAUAAAAUUUGUUAUUGUA
rnacentral:misc_RNA from 1 species